GAUGAACGCUGGCGGCGUGCUUAACACAUGCAAGUCGAACGAGGAAGCUGGAGCUUGCUCUGGUGGAUUAGUGGCGAACGGGUGAGUAACACGUGAGCAACCUGCCCCUGACUCUGGGAUAACAGCCGGAAACGGCUGCUAAUACCGGAUAUGCACCAUGAACGCAUGUUCUGUGGUGGGAAAGAUUUUUCGGUUGGGGAUGGGCUCGCGGCCUAUCAGCUUGUUGGUGAGGUAAUGGCUCACCAAGGCGUCGACGGGUAGCCGGCCUGAGAGGGUGACCGGCCACACUGGGACUGAGACACGGCCCAGACUCCUACGGGAGGCAGCAGUGGGGAAUAUUGCACAAUGGGCGAAAGCCUGAUGCAGCAACGCCGCGUGAGGGAUGACGGCCUUCGGGUUGUAAACCUCUUUUAGCAGGGAAGAAGCGAGAGUGACGGUACCUGCAGAAAAAGCGCCGGCUAACUACGUG
rnacentral:rRNA from 1 species